CCCUUAGAUGUUCUGGGCUGCACGCGCGCUAUACUGAUGCAUUCAACGAGUCCAACCUUGACCGAGAGGUCCGGGUAAUCUUUGAAACUGCAUCGUGAUGGGGCUAGAUUAUUGCAAUUAUUAAUCUUCAACGAGGAAUGCCUAGUAAGCGUGAUUCAUCAAAUCGCGUUGAUUACGUCCCUGCCCUUUGUACACACCGCCCGUCGCUCCUACCGAUUGAGUGUGUUGGUGAGGAGUUUGGAUUGGCCUCGGAAGGUGGUUCGCCACCGUCCGUAGCUGAGAAGUUCUCCAAACCGCCCCACUUAGAGGAAGGAGAAGUCGUAACA
rnacentral:rRNA from 1 species